UAAUGAAAAUAGAUAAAUCAGUUGCAUCAACAACUGCCUAAUGCAGAACCGUUUAAGACGGAAUCUAUUAAUAUCAUAUUUGGAU
rnacentral:sRNA from 1 species